rnacentral:rRNA from 1 species
CUAAACUGAGGAAAGUCGACCGAUACUGAUCGGCUAGAGGGACGUAGAGGUAAGCGGAACUCUCGGAGUAGCGGUGAAAUGCGUAGAGACCGAGAGGUACCCCGAUGGUGAAGACAGCUUACUGGGCGUCUCCUGACGCUGAAGCGCUAAGGCCAGGGGAGCGAAGGGGAUUAGAUACCCCCGUAGUCCUGGCCUCAAACGAUGUGGGCUUGGUGUCGGCUCCCGAUAGAGAGUCGUUGCCGGAGCUAACGUGUUAAGCCCACCGCCUGGGGAUUACGUCCGCAAGGAUGAAACUCAAGGGAAUUGACGGGGGCCCACACAACCGGUGGAGCACGUGGUUUAAUUCGAUGAUAAGCGAAGAACCUUACCAGGGCUUGACCUAGCGGUAGUAGAACCCUGAAAGGGGAACGAACCGAAGCUUUGCUUCGGGAGCC